UACAGAGGUCCCAAGCGUUGUUCGGAUUCAUUGGGCGUAAAGGGUGCGUAGGCGGCGCGGUAAGUCGGGUGUGAAAUCUCGGGGCUUAACUCCGAAACUGCAUUCGAUACUGCCGUGCUUGAGGACUGGAGAGGAGACUGGAAUUUACGGUGUAGCGGUGAAAUGCGUAGAUAUCGAUAAGGAAGACCAGUGGCGAAGGCGGGUCUCUGGACAGUUCCUGACACUGAGCACGAAGGCCAGGGGAGCAAACGGG
rnacentral:rRNA from 1 species